rnacentral:tRNA from 1 species
GGGGAGGUGUCAGAGUGACCGAAUGUGCCUGAUUCGAAAUCAGGUGUAUUGCAAGGUACCGGGGGGAUGAAUCCCUCCCUCUCCG